AAUCUCAUUGGCCGGAAGGGAUCCUUCCGGUCAAUGAGGUAUAACAUCCUCAUCGACGAAAGGGAUUUCUUCCGGUCAAUGAGGUU
rnacentral:miRNA from 1 species